rnacentral:rRNA from 1 species
GGGUUGUGAGGUUAAGCGACUAAGCGUACACGGUGGAUGCCCUGGCAGUCAGAGGCGAUGAAGGACGUGCUAAUCUGCGAUAAGCGUCGGUAAGGUGAUAUGAACCGUUAUAACCGGCGAUUUCCGAAUGGGGAAACCCAGUGUGAUUCGUCACACUAUCAUUAACUGAAUCCAUAGGUUAAUGAGGCGAACCGGGGGAACUGAAACAUCUAAGUACCCCGAGGAAAAGAAAUCAACCGAGAUUCCCCCAGUAGCGGCGAGCGAAC